rnacentral:rRNA from 1 species
GGCUCAGGAUGAACGCUAGCUACAGGCUUAACACAUGCUAGUCGAGGGGCAGCAUUUUAGUUUGCUUGCAAACUAAAGAUGGCGACCGGCGCACGGGUGAGUAACACGUAUCCAACCUGCCGAUAACUCGGGGAUAGCCUUUCGAAAGAAAGAUUAAUAUCCGGUAGUAUAUUAAAACCGCAUGGUUUUACUAUUAAAGAAUUUCGGUUAUCGAUGGGGAUGCGUUCCAUUAGUUUGUUGGCGGGGUAACGGCCCACCAAGACUACGAUGGAUAGGGGUUCUGAGAGGAAGGUCCCCCACAUUGGAACUGAGAUACGGUCCAAACUCCUACGGGAGGCAGCAGUGAGGAAUAUUGGUCAAUGGACGAGAGUCUGAACCAGCCAAGUAGCGUGAAGGAUGACUGCCCUAUGGGUUGUAAACUUCUUUUAUAUGGGAAUAAAGUAUUCCACGUGUGGAAUUUUGUAUGUACCAUAUGAAUAAGGAUCGGCUAACUCCGUGCCAGCAGCCGCGGUAAUACGGAGGAUCCGAGCGUUAUCCGGAUUUAUUGGGUUUAAGGGAGCGUAGGUGGAUUGUUAAGUCAGUUGUGAAAGUUUGCGGCUCAACCGUAAAAUUGCAGUUGAAACUGGCAGUCUUGAGUACAGUAGAGGUGGGCGGAAUUCGUGGUGUAGCGGUGAAAUGCUUAGAUAUCACGAAGAACUCCGAUUGCGAAGGCAGCUCACUAGACUGCAACUGACACUGAUGCUCGAAAGUGUGGGUAUCAAACAGGAUUAGAUACCCUGGUAGUCCACACAGUAAACGAUGAAUACUCGCUGUUUGCGAUAUACAGUAAGCGGCCAAGCGAAAGCAUUAAGCAUUCCACCUGGGGAGUACGCCGGCAACGGUGAAACUCAAAGGAAUUGACGGGGACCCGCACAAGCGGAGGAACAUGUGGUUUAAUUCGAUGAUACGCGAGGAACCUUACCCGGGCUUAAAUUGCAUUUGAAUAAUCUGGAAACAGGUUAGCCGCAAGGCAAAUGUGAAGGUGCUGCAUGGUUGUCGUCAGCUCCUGCCGUGAGGUGUCGGCUUAAGUGCCAUAACGAGCGCAACCCUUAUCUUUAGUUACUAACAGGGCAUGCUGAGGACUCUAGAGAGACUGCCGUCGUAAGAUGUGAGGAAGGUGGGGAUGACGUCAAAUCAGCACGGCCCUUACGUCCGGGGCUACACACGUGUUACAAUGGGGGGUACAGAAGGCAGCUACCUGGUGACAGGAUGCUAAUCCCAAAAACCUCUCUCAGUUCGGAUCGAAGUCUGCAACCCGACUUCGUGAAGCUGGAUUCGCUAGUAAUCGCGCAUCAGCCAUGGCGCGGUGAAUACGUUCCCGGGCCUUGUACACACCGCCCGUCAAGCCAUGAAAGCCGGGGGUACCUGAAGUACGUAACCGCAAGGAGCGUCCUAGGGUAAAACUGG